rnacentral:lncRNA from 1 species
AGGUGAUUAAUUCAUCAAUUGGGUUAAGGCUCUCACAACCUAAUCAUUUCUCCUUCAAACCUUCUUAUUGUCUCACACAUGUGUUUUUUGGGGACAUCUCACAUCCAAACCAUAAGACUUAUUUAUUUUUGGUGCUGGAGAUCAAGCUUAGGGUCUUGCACAUGCUGGUUCAUGCUGUACUACUAAACUACACUCCAGCCCACUUUUAUUAUCCUUGAAUACUUUUUAUAUUUACCUGUAUUAAACAAAUACUUAAAAUGAAAAUAGUCCUGAAAUUAUUUUCUUAAUAAAUAAACAUUAUUUAUCUGGUAAGAAUAAAAAAGAAUUCUUGAUUAUUUUUCUCCCUUCUGGUGGUUGAAAUGAACUACAGUCCUCAAAUGGACAGCAACACAAGAAUUCCCUUGAAGACCACUUUCUUUUGCAGAAAUGCAAAGAUGCGGGAGACACACCUUGAAGUGUUGUUAUUCUCUAGGUGAAAGUGCCAACUACUGUGCUUUCGAGUAUAUUCGUAAUUACUGCAUUGUCCUCCUUUGAGUUCCAUGGCAGGAAAUAGAAUUUCUUCUCACGUUAUGGGAGUCUUUGGAGAAACACGGGACCCAGCUGAUGUCCACGCUCAUCAGCUGUGGGAUGGGGCAGGACCCGAAGCCGAGGUGCGCAAGUUUCCCUGUGUGCACAGGGGCUCUUGUCACGGUUAGGAUGAG